AGUGAACGCUGGCGGCAGGCCUAACACAUGCAAGUCGAACGGCAGCACAGCAGUAGCAAUACUGUGGGUGGCGAGUGGCGGACGGGUGAGGAAUACAUCGGGAUCUACCUUUUCGUGGGGGAUAACGUAGGGAAACUUACGCUAAUACCGCAUACGCCCUACGGGGGAAAGCGGCGGACCGCAAGGCGUCGCGCGAUGAGAUGAACCGAUGUCCGAUUAGCUAGUUGGCGGGUAAAGGCCCACCAAGGCGACGAUCGGUAGCUGAUCUGAGAGGAUGAUCAGCCACACUGGAACUGAGACACGGUCCAGACUCCUACGGGGGCAGCAGUGGGGAUCUUGCACAAUGGGCGAAAGCCUGAUGCAGCGACGCCGCGUGAGCGAAGAAGGCCUUGGGUGUAAAGCUCUGUCUGGAGGCGAAGGAGUGACGGUACCUCCGGAGGAAGCCACGGCUAACUACGUGCCAGCAGCCGCGGUAAAAUCACGUGUAC
rnacentral:rRNA from 1 species